rnacentral:lncRNA from 1 species
CAACUUUCUCACCAAUCUGAAAAUAGAAAUGAAACAAAUUACGGUGUGAGUUACAAAAGGAGAAAAUAUUCAUGACACUAUCAGGUCAGUAGAAUAAAUAUACGUUUUCUUCAGUGUGCGCUUAAUAUUCAGGUGCGUUUUAUGUAAGGACAAAAACAAUCUUCCCCCCAAAAAACGGCCGUGCGGCUUAUAAAACGAUGCGCUUUAAAUUCGAAAAUAUACGGUAACACAAUUUAAUACAA